rnacentral:rRNA from 1 species
CUCAGUUCGGAUCGGAGUCUGNAACCCGACUCCGUGAAGCUGGAUUCGCUGUAAUCGCGCAUCAGCCAUGGCGCGGUGAAUACGUUCCCGGGCCCUUGUACACACCGCCCGUCAAGCCAUGGAAGCCGGGGGUGCCUGAAGUGUGCAGCCGCAAGGAGCGCCCUAAGGUAAAACCGGUGACUGGGGCUAAGUCGUAACAAGGUACC